UGGGGAAUAUUGGACAAUGGACCAAGAGUCUGAUCCAGCAAUUCUGUGUGCACGAUGAAGUUUUUCGGAAUGUAAAGUGCUUUCAGUUGGGAAGAAAAAAAUGACGGUACCAACAGAAGAAGUGACGGCUAAAUACGUGCCAGCAGCCGCGGUAAUACGUAUGUCACGAGCGUUAUCCGGAUUUAUUGGGCGUAAAGCGCGUCUAGGUGGUUAUGUAAGUCUGAUGUGAAAAUGCAGGGCUCAACUCUGGAUUGCGUUGGAAACUGUAUAACUAGAGUACUGGAGAGGUAAGCGGAACUACAAGUGUAGAGGUGAAAUUCGUAGAUAUUUGUAGGAAUGCCGAUGGGGAAGCCAGCUUACUGGACAGAUACUGACGCUGAAGCGCGAAAGCGUGGGUAGCAAACAGGAUUAGAUACCCUGGUAGUCCACGCCGUAACGAUGAUUACUAGGUGUUGGGGGUCGAACCUCAGCGCCCAAGCAAACGCGAUAAGUAAUCCGCCUGGGGAGUACGUACGCAAGUAU
rnacentral:rRNA from 1 species